rnacentral:lncRNA from 1 species
UCUGCUUUUGUUAAUUAAAAGCCAACUGACUAGGAUCUUAAUUGAUCAGCAUAAUCCCUUCUGCUCUACAGAGCAACAUAAUCACAGAGUGUUAUCUGUCGUAUUCCCACUCUGGAUCACACUUGAGGAAAGAGAUCUUGUAGGAUGCCUACAUAAGGGGCUUAGAUUCUCAUGGGCCACCUUAGAGUUUUGCUACCCACAGCCACUGUUUUUAUUUGCUGUUAGAUUUUAGUGGUACAGAGUUGAUUUUUUUUUCUCUUUUUCCCUGUGUACUUGAGUUUUUAAAAAAAAUGAAGUUUUGAGAAAAAUGAAAAUGAGAUCUAAUAGAACAUAUUUGAAUUGUAUCGUGGAAAAUAACCUUGGCAUGCUUAGGUUCCGAGGCUCUGCUCCGGAGCAGACGUCCUGGGCUGUCACCUUCAUGAGACAAAAUAUUCAGUAGCAAGUUUCUGAAGACUGUUUAUGGCCUACCAUUAUCAACCAUGGGCUACCCAGUUAUAAAGCUACUAACCAAAUCAAUUUCACAAAAUGUUUGCCGCCUAUUGCAACUUUAGUACCACUCAUUCCUUGCAGGUAGGCUACUGUCAGCACAAUUACUGAGCUGCUUUGGAACUGUUCUCUAGCAAAACCCACUUUCCCCCACUAUAAAGGUAGGCCUGGCGGGGUUUCUUACCACUCAUUAGCACUUUAAUUCCCCAUUUCCUCAUUUACUCAUGUUUCUUGUACCGGUAAUACUACGUUAUUCCAGGGUAAUGCCAUUUCAAUGCUGAGAGUGUACACCAGUUGCCAGGGUUUAAAGCAAAGAUGGAGAAUUUUCUCUGUGAAGAAUUCAACAUCAGCUUGACACUAAUGAUCCUGAGUGGCAGGUAAUGAAAGGCUGCAAGCCAGAGAGAAAUAAUUCCACAAACAUACAUUUCUCUGUAACAAUCAGCUUUUAACAGCCAGCCUCUGUGGUGCACUGGGUAACUACACUAGGCAUAUUCCUGCAUCCUAGCUUAUGAGACUAACAUUUUCCCUUUGGAAACUUUUAAUUGUUUUCUUAAGAGGGAUGAUAUAAUUUAUAACUAUCCAUUUUUUUUAAAAGAUGCACAAAUUAU